CAAAGGGCUUUUUUUUUUUUGGCCACACCCAUGGCGUAUGGGAGUUUCUGGUCCAGGGAUGGAAUCUGAGCUGCAGCUGCAGUUUGUGCCACAGCUGUAGCAACGCCAGAUCCUCAACCCACUGUGCCAAGCUAGGAAUCAAUUCCUUGCUGCCAUAGAGACAGCACUGGAUCCUUAACCUGCUGUGCCACAGUGGAAACUCCCAAAGGGCUUAUUUUUAUUUAUUUAUUUAAUUUACUUAUUUAUUUAUUUUUUGUCUUUUUGCCAUUUCUUGGGCGCUCCGAUUAGACCCCUAGCCUGGGAACCUCCAUAUGCCACGGGUACAGCCCUAAAAAGACAAAAGCCAAAAAAAAAAAGAAGAAGAAGAAGAAAAAUGACCAACAAUGCUAGUACCAAAAGGCUUGAAUUAGGGGAGUUCCCGUUGUGGCUCAGCGGUUAGUGAACCCAACUAGCAUCCUCAAGGACUCAGGUUUGAUCCCUGGCCUCACUCAGUGGCUUAAGGAUCCAGGUUGUUGUGAGCUGUGGUAUAGGUCACAGAUGUGGCGCAGAUCCCACAUUGCUGUGGCUGUGGCUUAGGCUGGCAGCUGCAUCUCCAGUUCCACCCCUAGCCUGGGAACCUCCAUAUGGUGGAUGUGGCCCUAAAAAAGACAAAAAGACCAAAAAAAAAAAAAAAAAAAAAAAAAAAAAGAACUAAGAAAGGAAUUCACUUGUGGAGCAGUGAGUUAAGGAUCCCAGGUUGUCACUGUAGUGACUUAAGUUGCUGCUGUGGCUUGGGUUCAAUCCCUGACCCGGUACAGUGGAUUAAGGAUCUGGCAUUGCCCUUGUUUGCUUCUUUUGUAGCACUUAAAAUUCAUAGCAGUUACAGCGUGCAGUGAAGUCAUUUUUGUGUUUACUGACUACAUUUUUGUCUUUCCCCUGGUGGACCAGAGGCUUCCUGAGGCCAGGAGCUGUCUCUCUUUUUGUCUUGCAGCUGUUUUCCUAAAUAAUCGCUCAGCAGAUAUUUGUUGAAUGCAUCAGCAAAUGAUUAAAGUCUUUUUCUUCUUUUUUUGGCUGCAGUCAUGGCAUAUGGAAGUUCUUGGGCGAAGGAUCAAACCUGUGCAUCCGGAGCAACCCAAGCAAUGCAGUUGGAUCCUUAACCCACUGUGCCACAGUAGGAACUCCUAAAUUUAACUCUGAGAGCAAUUGAUUUUUGAAGUUCCGAGGGGUGCCCCUUAUAGGUGAAUCCUUGGUAAGCAGUGUUGAUGGAGGGUCUCCUCACACUUCCAGAGACUACAUGAUGCACAUAAUAGAGAAGAAGGAACCAGUGAAGGGCACACCUGUGUCAGGACGAGGGCAGGAGUAAAAAGAGUGCUGACAGGCUUUCCUGGAGCUUUGUGUUUUGAAUAAUGCCUGUUUGUCUUUUAUGUGUAGUGAGUGAUACUCCACUCUGGGCAGACUUUGCCUAAGUUUCAUAAAUAUUUAAUUGGCUUUUUCAGGAGAAUAAAGGCAGCCCCGUUGAUGACUGAAAAUGACAAAGCAUCCACCUAACAGACGAGGAAUCAGCUUUGAAGUGGGAGCCCAGUUGGAAGCCCGGGACCGAUUAAAAAACUGGUACUUUUAUAUUUUUCUGUUAAUUAAAUCCCUUCUGUAAAGGACUUUUGCCAGCACUGAUAAAGAGGGUAGCCUGGGCUUUUCUGUAGUGUUUUCCUGCUCCCUGAUUCUUGUAAGGUGGAAGGAGACUUAAGUCUAGAGCUGUGGGGAUGUCCUUUCUUUUUGGUGCUGCGAUCCCUGCGUCAAGGCGACCAUCCUCUUCUAUCUGUUCCCCUUUUCAGCCUGUUCAUCUGAGGGAGGUAUGGGAAAAAGAAGCAGGAGUGGUUACAGGGCAGGGAAGAGUUAAUUGUGGCAGCUGUCUUGCUUUUGACUGCCUGUUUGGAAGAAGAGACGAGAGAAAGAUCAGGGAUGGAAGAAUGAAGAAAAGGGGUUAGAUCUGAACAUCUUGUGUGUUGUGAACAACCCCUCCUAUUUUCUGCAUGUGUUGUUGUAUUGUUGAAACUUAGUCAUCACAUUGUAGGGCUGAGUAGAAUGAGAAGCUGAGGGAGUGUAGUCCCAACUCUGUCAUUGACGUGUGACCUCUGGCUGGUAAUUAGCUGCUUUGAGCAACUUUCAUCUAUAAAUGUGGGUACUAGUGAUAAAGACCUCUCAGAGUUUUUUUGAGAAUCAGAUAAUAGAAUAUGUGGUAAAAGGCCUUAUAAACUGUAAAAUGAUGGUCGUUGUUAAGGAUAUCCUGGAUUUUGGUCGUUUGUUACUGCUUAAGGUGAAAGUGGAGGUUUCAGAACUCAAAUCUUUCUGAGUUUUCAGAAAGAAGAGUGUAGUGCUUUUGGGGCUUAUCUCAGAAUAGACAGGUUAGGUAGUUCCCGUCGUGGCUCAGCAGUUAACAGCAUCCAUGAGGAGGUUCGAUCCAUG
rnacentral:lncRNA from 9 species